UGUGUAGUUAUAAACAGCCGCGGUAUCUUGACCGUGCAAAGGUAGCAUAAUCACUUGCCCUUUAAUUGGGGGCUGGAAUGAAAGAAAGUUUUGAGGGCUCAGCUGUCUCUUGCGUUUGGUUGGAAUUUGCUGUUUUUGUGAAGAAGCAGGAGUGAUGGAGAAAGACAAGAAGACCCUAUUAAGCUUGACUGUUGGUUUCGUUUACUUUCUCUUUAGGGAUAUAAGUAAACUGUGUGACAGUUUGGUUGGGGCGACUAAAAAGGAGUUAUGUAUCCUCUUUUUACAAGAAAACUCGUAGUUUAACUGUGACCCAGGAUUUUCUGGUUGUAAGAAUUAGUUACUAUAGGGAUAACAGCGUAAUUUCCUCAGAGAGUUCUUAUUGAAGAGGGGGUUUGCGACCUCGAUGUUGACUUGUUGUUUCCUCUUUUAGGUGUAGCAGCUGGAAAGGUUAGUCUGUUCGACUAUUAAAACGGC
rnacentral:rRNA from 1 species